AUUGAACGCUGGCGGCAUGCCUUACACAUGCAAGUCGAACGGUAACGGGCCUUCGGGUGCCGACGAGUGGCGAACGGGUGAGUAAUACAUCGGAACGUGCCCGAUCGUGGGGGAUAACGAGGCGAAAGCUUUGCUAAUACCGCAUACGAUCUACGGAUGAAAGCAGGGGACCGCAAGGCCUUGCGCGGACGGAGCGGCCGAUGGCAGAUUAGGUAGUUGGUGGGAUAAAAGCUUACCAAGCCGACGAUCUGUAGCUGGUCUGAGAGGAUGAUCAGCCACACUGGGACUGAGACACGGCCCAGACUCCUACGGGAGGCAGCAGUGGGGAAUUUUGGACAAUGGGCGCAAGCCUGGUCCAGCCAUGCCGCGCGCAGGAUGAAGGCCUUCGGGUUGUAAACUGCUUUUGUACGGAACGAAAAGCCUUCUUUUAAUACAGGAGGGUCAUGACGGUACCGUAAGAAUAAGCACCGGCUAACUACGUG
rnacentral:rRNA from 1 species